rnacentral:tmRNA from 1 species
GGGGAUGAAAGGAAUCGACGGAAGGCGCUCUUUUAAAACUGCAAGCCUCCUUUGAUCCAAAGGAGAAAAACAGGAUCAAAAAAGAAAAGACACUUCUUACGAAGUUGCCCCUAGAAUUGACCGCGAUUUCGCUGUCAAUUACGCUUUUGCGUAAAUCCAGCUCAAACUGGACUAGGCGUCUGAAAGGUUUUUGCUUGUCGGAAUCUUUCGGGCGUGAACAAAGACAAGCCGCAAUAUUGAUGCCGCCAAGACAUCAAUACCAAGCGCUUUCUUGGCAACCUUUAACUUUCCUGGCUAACGGAUCAGGUUAAAGGCAAAAAAGUUAGCCUAAGCUUGUAGAUGUUUUAAAAGAAGUCUUUCGGAUUCCGGUUCAAUUCCGGACAUCUCCACCA